AGCGAACGCUGGCGGCAGGCUUAACACAUGCAAGUCGAACGCCCCGCAAGGGGAGUGGCAGACGGGUGAGUAACACGUGGGAACGUACCCUUUGGUUCGGAAUAACUUGGGGAAACUCAAGCUAAUACCGGAUAAGCCCUUAUGGGGAAAGGUUUACUGCCGAAGGAUCGGCCCGCGUCUGAUUAGCUAGUUGGUGAGGUAAUGGCUCACCAAGGCGACGAUCAGUAGCUGGUCUGAGAUGAUGAUCAGCCACACUGGGACUGAGACACGGCCCAGACUCCUACGGGAGGCAGCAGUGGGGAAUAUUGGACAAUGGGGGCAACCCUGAUCCAGCCAUGCCUCGUGAGUGAUGAAGGCCUUAGGGUUGUAAAGCUCUUUUACCCGGGACGAUAAUGACUGUACCGGGAGAAUAAGCCCCGGCUAACUUCGUGCCAGCAGCCGCAGUAA
rnacentral:rRNA from 1 species